rnacentral:rRNA from 1 species
CCUACGGGUGGCAGCAGUGAGGAAUAUUGGUCAAUGGGCGCGAGCCUGAACCAGCCAAGUAGCGUGAAGGAUGACUGCCCUACGGGUUGUAAACUUCUUUUAUAAAGGAAUAAAGUGAGGCACGUGUGCCUUUUUGUAUGUACUUUAUGAAUAAGGAUCGGCUAACUCCGUGCCAGCAGCCGCGGUAAUACGGAGGAUGCGAGCGUUAUCCGGAUUUAUUGGGUUUAAAGGGAGCGUAGAUGGGUUGUUAAGUCAGUUGUGAAAGUUUGCGGCUCAACCGUAAGAGUGCAAUUGAUACUGGCAGCCGUGAGUACAGUUGAGGUAGGCGGAAUUCGGGGUGUAGCGGUGAAAUGCGUAGAUAUCACGAAGAACUCCGAUGGCGAAGGCAGCCUACUAAGCUGCCACUGACAUUGAUGCUCGAAAGUGUGGGUAUCAAACAGGAUUAGAUACCCUUGUAGUC